GGAAAAGGUUCUUGGUGUUGAAGGGAAAAGGUCCUUGAUGUUGAAGGGAAAAGGUUCUUGGUGUUGAAGGGAAAAUGUUCUUGGUGUUGAAGGGAAAAGGUUCUUGGUGUUGAAGGGAAAAUGUUCUUGGUGUUGAAGGGAAAAUGUUCUUGGUGUUGAAGGGAAAAGGUUCUUGGUGUUGAAGGGAAAAUGUUCUUGGUGUUGAAGGGAAAAGGUUCUUGGUGUUGAAGGGAAAAGGUUCUUGGUGUUGAAGGGAAAAGGUUCUUGGUGUUGAAGGGAAAAGGUCCUUGGUGUUGAAGGGAAAAGGUUCUUGGUGUUGAAGGGAAAAGGUUCUUGGUGUUGAAGGGAAAAGGUUCUUGGUGUUGAAGGGAAAAGGUUCUUGGUGUUGAAGGGAAAAGGUUCUUGGUGUUGAAGGGAAAAGGUUCUUGGUGUUGAAGGGAAAAGGUUCUUGGUGUUGAAGGGAAAAGGUCCUUGGUGUUGAAGGGAAAAGGUUCUUGGUGUUGAAGGGAAAAGGUUCUUGGUGUUGAAGGGAAAAGGUUCUUGGUGUUGAAGGGAAAAGGUUCUUGGUGUUGAAGGGAAAAGGUUCUUGGUGUUGAAGGGAAAAGGUUCUUGGUGUUGAAGGGAAAAGGUUCUUGGUGUUGAAGGGAAAAGGUUCUUGGUGUUGAAGGGAAAAGGUUCUUGGUGUUGAAGGGAAAAGGUUCUUGGUGUUGAAGGGAAAAGGUUCUUGGUGUUGAAGGGAAAAGGUCCUUGGUGUUGAAGGGAAAAGGUUCUUGGUGUUGAAGGGAAAAGGUUCUUGGUGUUGAAGGGAAAAGGUUCUUGGUGUUGAAGGGAAAAGGUCCUUGGUGUUGAAAGUCCUGUUCAUUCGUAUACUUAAAAAAAAAGGACCUUGGUGACGAGGGAAAAUGACCUUGGUGGAAAGUCCUGUAUAUUUGUUUUGGGAAAGAGGACAAAAAGGGUCGUGGUGUUGAAAGUCCUCUUCGUUUGUAUAGAGAAAAAAGACCUUAUUGUUGAAAGUCCUGUUUAUUUGUAUUGUGAAGAAGGACAAAGAGGAUCGUGGUGUUGAAAGUCCUCUUCGUUUGUAUAGAGAAAAAAGACCUUAUUGUUGAAAGUCCUGUAUAUUUGUUUUGGGAAAGAGGACAAAGAGGAUCGUGGUGUUGAAAGUCCUCUUCGUUUGUUGAGAGAAAAGACCUUAUCGCUGCAAGUCCUGUUCAAGGGAAAAUUAACUCAACAUCGGACAUUUGUUAAGGGAAUCUGACCUUACAUUGAACGUUUGUGAAGGGAAAAUUGACCUUAUAAGUGACGGCGAUAAUUUUGGGGUAAUUACGUAGAUUAACAAACACUUUUUACUCGCCGACAUAAAUUAAUGGAAACAAAUUUUAAGACACUUAUUUCCUAUUCCUAUUUCCUAUUUCCUAUUUCCUAUUCCCAUUCCUAUUAUCUACUUCCAGUUCCUGUUUCCUCUUUCCUAUUUCCUAUUCCCAUUCCUAUUUCCGAAACUGGGGGCCAGGGUUCGUCUACGGCCCGGGUGUAAAACUAGCCCUAGGUCCCGGAGUAUCGGGUUCCUACCUAUCACAAUCUCAAGGGCCAAAGAGACAGAGAUGAGCACCGAGGCAGUUUUACCUUUACCUGAAUACCAAAAGUCCCGUUAAAUGACACUAAAAUAAGCCGUUCCGUUGUUUAUGUAUAUCGGACCUGACGUUGAAAGUUCACGAAAAUCCAGUUAUUAUUAUUGUUGUUAUUUGUAGACGUGGGAAAGGUUUUGUACUUUGGGGUCGGUCUGUUUUUGGUCUGUUUUAUGAUUAGAUUUUGGUUUAGUUUAAUGUUUGUUUAUGUUUUGUGUUUGUUAGUGUUUGUUUACGUUGUGUUUUAAGGUUAGUGUUCCUGUGAUGGGAUAGUUGGUUCUGGUGAUUAUCUUUUGUUAUAUAUAAGAGAGAGA